GACUCAUUAAUAUGGGAUUACAGAGGAAGGAAUGGUUAAGAAAAAGACAUGGCCUCUGACUGCUCCAAAAAAGGAUAAGCAGGGCUUCACAGAAGAGGUGACAGGAAUUUAUUGCCAUGUGGUUUACUCCAGCAUCACUGGUUGUUUGCAGCUUUCUAGUUUCUUCCAUCAUUCCCAGGACCAGCUUCUCUGCAACCUGUCAGAAGCACCAGCACCAGCCAGGUGGCACCCUCCCUUAGACUCUGACAGCCAGACUCUCCUUCAACCUCCUGAAGUGGUGCAGGAGACAAGUGGUACCCUCAGAGUUCUGCGUCCCAGCCUGGCAGGGCUCCUCCUCUGAGGUCUGGUAACUCUCAGCCAAGAUUGUUACAGUUACUAUCUCUGUGGUACCUGUGUCCCCUUUUUUGUUUUUCCAUCCUGCCAAUGCCUGUUUAGCCAAUUAUCUAUAUUAAAUUCUCUCUGUUAAAACAAA
rnacentral:lncRNA from 10 species